rnacentral:rRNA from 1 species
UCCUUAUGAUUUGGGCCACACACGUGCUACAAUGUCGUAACAAAGGGAAGCAACCCUGCGAAGGUGAGCAAAUCCCAAAAAUAACGACCCAGUUCGGACUGUAGGCUGCAACCCGCCUGCACGAAGCUGGAAUCGCUAGUAAUCGCAGAUCAGAAUGCUGCGGUGAAUACGUUUCCCGGUUCGCGUUAC